rnacentral:rRNA from 1 species
UACAGGGGGGGCAAGCGUUGUUCGGAAUUACUGGGCGUAAAGGGUUCGUAGGUGGCCACUUAAGUCAGACGUGAAAUCCCUCAGCUUAACUGGGGAACUGCGUCUGAUACUGCGUGGCUUGAGUGCAGGAGAGGAAUGCGGAAUUCCAGGUGUAGCGGUGAAAUGCGUGGAUAUCGGGAGGAACAUCAGUGGCGAAGGCGGCUGCCUGGCCCAAUACUGACACUCAGGUGCGACAGCGUGGGGAGCAAACAGG